rnacentral:rRNA from 1 species
CCCGAACCCGCCGAACGCUUUUCGGAAUUAUCGGGCUUAAAGGGUGCGUAGGCGGGGCGGUAAGUGAGGUGUGAAAGCCCGCGGCUCAACCGAGGAAUUUCGCCUCAUACUGCCGUGCUGGAGGAAGACAGGGGGAAGCGGAACUGAUGGCGGAGCGGUGAAAUGCGUUGAUAUCAUCAGGAACACCGGUGGCGAAAGCGGCUUACUGGGUCUUUUCUGACGCUGAGGCAGGAAAGCUAGGGUAGCGAACGGG